rnacentral:rRNA from 1 species
CACGGAGGAUGCGAGCGUUAUCCGGAUUUAUUGGGUUUAAAGGGUGCGUAGGCGGGCUUUUAAGUCAGCGGUAAAAAUUCGGGGCUCAACCCCGUCCGGCCGUUGAAACUGGGGGUCUUGAGUGGGCGAGAAGAAGGCGGAAUGCGUGGUGUAGCGGUGAAAUGCAUAGAUAUCACGCAGAACCCCGAUUGCGAAGGCAGCCUUCCGGCGCCCUACUGACGCUGAGGCACGAAAGUGCGGGGAUCGAACAGG